rnacentral:rRNA from 1 species
AGUGAACGCUGGCGGUAGGCCUAACACAUGCAAGUCGAACGGCAGCACAGUAAGAGCUUGCUCUUACGGGUGGCGAGUGGCGGACGGGUGAGGAAUACAUCGGCAUCUACUUUUUCGUGGGGGAUAACGUAGGGAAACUUACGCUAAUACCGCAUACGACCUACGGGUGAAAGCAGGGGAUCUUCGGACCUUGCGCGAUUGAAUGAGCCGAUGUCGGAUUAGCUAGUUGGCGGGGUAAAGGCCCACCAAGGCGACGAUCCGUAGCUGGUCUGAGAGGAUGAUCAGCCACACUGGAACUGAGACACGGUCCAGACUCCUACGGGAGGCAGCAGUGGGGAAUAUUGGACAAAGGGCGCAAGCCUGAUCCAGCCAUACCGCGUGGGUGAAGAAGGCCUUCGGGUUGUAAAGCCCUUUUGUUGGGAAAGAAAAGCAGCAGGUUAAUACCCCGCUGUUCUGACGGUACCCAAAGAAUAGGCACCGGCUAACUUCGUG